rnacentral:tRNA from 1 species
GGGGUCAUAGUAUAACCAGGUAGUACGGCAGGCUCCAGACCUGCAUACCGGAGUUCAAAUCUCCGUGACCCCA